AGGGUAGCGGUUACGCUGAGCGCCGGCGUUGCUGGUCCCCGACCCCUGGUACCCGGGCAUCGUUUUUUCAUCCCGGGCAGCUGGGACCCCGGGAUGACCUAAGGAACAAGGAUUCAGACGCAGACUCCACGGUGAAUUGGCCUUAUUCACGUGUGAACGAACGUCCAGGAGAAAACCAAACCCGAAUGGGCCAGGCUCUAACCAGAGGAGACCCCAAAACUGUGAUCUGCAUCAGAAAACGAACCAGCCAGCCGGUUCCCGGCUCUGCCAGGUCUAGGGGUGCUUUAUUCAAGCCCUGGGUUCGCUCCCUGGUCAGCAAGUAUGAGGUAUUUGCAGAGGGUCUAGAAGAUGUGAAGGGAGAUUAGCCCGCAUUUAGGACUGUGCCAAACAGAGAGUGAGUGAUGCUGAAGAAAGUGGCCUCCUCUGCUCCAGCCCUCCCUCCUCCUCCCCAACCCCUGGCUCUACCACCUCUCCCUCAGCACCGGCGCCCUACCCUCAGCCUGUAAACAGUAUCAGGUCUCGCCCAACAAAAAUCAAUGGAGACCCAGCAAUUCCACUCAAGAGAACUAGAAACAUGUCUGUACUAAAACUUGUACACAAAUGUUCAUAGCGGUGUAUUCAGAAGGCCAAAAAAGGAAACAACUGAAUGUCCACUGAUUGACAAAUGGAUGAGCAAAUUAUGGUCUAUCCAUACAAUGGAAUAGUAUUCUGCCAUAAAAAAUAAUAAGGCCGGGCAUGGUGGCUCACGCCUGUAAUCCCAGCACUUUGGGAGGCCGAGGCGGGCGGAUCACGAAGUCAGGAGAUCGAGACCAUACUGGCUAACACAGUGAAACCCCGUCUCUACUAAAAAAAAAUACAAAAAAUUAGCCGGGCGUGUUGGCGAGUGCCUGUAGUCCCAGCUAAGUGGGAGGCUGAGGCAGGAGAAUGGCGUGAACCCGGGAGUCAGAGCUUGCAGUGAGCCGAGAUCGCACCACUACACUCCAGCCUGGGCAACAGAGCAAGACUCCGUCUCAAAAAAAAAAAAAAAAGAAAGAAAGAAAUUCUGUUACAUGCUACAACAUGGAUGAACCUUGAAAACACUAUAGUGCUCAAUGAAAGAAACCAGUCACAAAAACCCACAUAGUGUAUGAUUCUAUUUAUAUGAAAUGUCCAAAACAGGCAAAUCCAUAG
rnacentral:lncRNA from 1 species